UUUUGGCUGCAAACUAGUCGAUCAAAAAAUUGUUGCCAUUCGCUUAAUAAGAAAAUCGAUCAUAAAUGUCUAACGGCUGUUAAAACUUUUGCGAAAAUCACGACGAUGACUGAUAAGAAUUGCUCAAUGGGUGCGCAAGUGUAGGUUCUCUGUUUCUAUCGAUUUAUUUUCUUAAUGAUUCUUAAUAAUUGCUUCCGUCACAGGUGCCGAUUGCCUGUGAUUGUGCCUUUCUGGUUAACAUUGUUUACGUUUCUCGUUCUCCCCAUACAUGUCCUAACUUUUACAAUUAUCCAAAAUAUCAUGUCUGUUAACCAGUUCUCAGUGCCCCAGAUAAGCUGCGUAUCUGCGUCUUUCACCCUAUUAAAAUGUUUAAAAAUGCAAAGAAAUACAAUAUCAUGAGUAUUGAAAACGCAACCAAUUUGACUUUUACGCAAAUUCGUCAAAUUAACGAUACAAAACUUCGAUUAAAAAUGAUUUGCUCAUUUUAGGUAUUUUCUCUUUGGAAUUAUUAUCGUAACGCGGUGACGCUUACAUUCAGCAAGCUCAGCAAACGGUCAUAGUUAUGCAAACGCUAUGCGUUUUCAAUCUGACCUAAUUCGUCGCCCAUUGUGCAUGUAUUUGUAAAGCGUCUGUACUUUCAGUUUCUAUUACAAUGCGAAAUAAAAAUAGCUAAGAGAGGUCGAAAGACGUCUGAGAAUGUUGCGCCAAAAUAUCAGCCGAUCGCAAACUUUUUUGAAUCAAGAAAGCAAGAGCCAAUAAGUGCCGAAUCAUUCGUGUUAUCGAUUUUGUUAGAAACUGUGUAUACAGCAGUUGAGUUGACAUCCAAAAAACAUGAUGGAAAGUCUGUGACUUAACAAACCUGUCAAAAGUAUAAAAAGGCAUGUCAUUGGUUAGAAAUUGUCGACAUUUUUUAAAGUUUAUAUCAUGGACAGUUUCAAGGAUUAAAGAUAUUAGGAAACAUCAGUUUAUUAAAAUUUAUGAUGAUAGUUUACAGUUCUAUUGAAUCAAUACAAGUGUGCAGCGUCAACGGAAGUAAAUCAGCAAUUAUUUUAAGGAGAUGAUGCCAAUGAUUCACCAUUAGAAGAUAUGACGGUAACAGUGGUCCAGAACUUGGCUCAACCAGAGUUCCACCAACAUUGCAACAUGCACACAACCAGCAAAACAUACCAAGACUGCCGAAUGUUUGGUCAGGCAAAAGCAUCCCACAAUGUUGCGACAGGCCCAUGUUUCAGUUUAUCGAGACUAGUCGUGAAACACAGACUUCUGAUUCAUGGAGUGCGGCAAACAUAUCUGUGCGACUCGUUCACUCCACUGUAAAGACCCGCACGGCAUUAAAAUGGAUAUCAUCCGACGUUUGCAAACGAUGGCUGCAUGAGGUCUGCGUCUCACAACCUACAUCCCAAGAUAGCUUUGUGUGUGAUGUUUGUAUUGCACAAUAUAGUUGAUGUAUUGAAACCAGGCUUUAAAAAUAAAUCAAGGUCAACUACAAUUUAAAAUUAAAACUAGAAAUGGCGCGGCAGAGGCCGACGAGUAUCCCCACGCCGCAUGUUUGACCCAGGGGCGCCCUAGGUUUGGUAAUGGGGCCAUGCAUAGUCGAGGCUUUGUUGAUUCUGGUGGCGGUGAAAAUGUUAAAAUCGAAGUCCUUAAUACAAGAGUAAAAUUCACUUGGAUUUAGGUCCUCAUCCUGCUCUCCUAACAAAUCUAAUACUGAAUCAACUUCACUGACGUCCAUUAUGUACAUAUCAUCCUCAUUGGAAUGAGAUGGCUGAACUUGCUCUGUUAUAGCCAAUCUUCAUGCUUCUGCUUUGGAAAAGUUAUGUUUUGAGGUUAAAUGGUUGACUAAAUAGUAGUGUCUCAGAAAUUUUAUAUCGCAAUCUUGUACACAACAAUGAAAAUGUUAAAUUUCAUGUCUGUCAUUGAUGUGCCUGUUCAAGAGUCCUUUUUGCUUUAAAUUGUUUGUCACAUUUUUCACACUUGAACAUUUUGAAAGAUUUUCAUAAUGAGUCUAAAAGUGUGAUUGAACAAAUUGAAAGUUUAGCCCUUUUAUAGAUUCUUGAGGCGCUAUUCCAUGAGUUUCUCAUGCUUUUUAUGCUUGACUGCAUUCUAUCUCUUCUCUAAAAUACAGGUGUCCCUUUGCACCAAUAUUUUAUAAUCCCUUGUAUACACAUUAGAUGGAUGAGCUAAACCAUUUCACAGAUGAAUAAACACAAAUAAUUGACUACUAAAUACAUCUCUGCGCCACUACUGUGUAACUCUAUAUAUGUUUUCAAUACACAAGCUUCAUUGUUGAAUAAUUCCUUUGUCUGAUGAAAAUGCUUGCACUUCUUCUGAUUGGGUAGAUAACCACUUAAUAGAUUUCAAAAUUUAAACGCGGACCUUAAGUUCAAGGUCAAGGUCACAGGGGUCAAAACUUUUUAAUGCGCAUGGAAAGGUCUUGUCCAGAUACACAUGCAUACCAAAUAUGAAAGCAAUAUCUGAAGGUACACAGUAGGUAUGAGCCUUUUUCGAAUCGUGUUUGCAGAUUUCGAAACCUAAACGCUGGCCUAAAGUUCAAGGUCAAGGUCACAGGGGUCAAAAAUUGUAUGCGCAUGGUAAGGUGUUGUUCAGAUACACAUGCAUACCAAAUAUUAUACCAAUAUCUGAAGGGACACAGUAGUUAUGAGCCUUUUUUCGAAUCGCGGUCGCAGAUUCAGAAACCUGAACGCUGACCUCAAGUUCAAGGUCAAGGUAGCAUGUACAAAAUUGUAUGCGCAUGAAAAGAUGUUGUCUAGAUACACAUACAUACCAAAUAUGACAGCAAUAUCUGAAGGGACACAGUAGUUAUGAGCCUUUUUCGAAUCGCGGUCACAGAUUUCAAAACCUUAAAACUGGCCCAAAGUUCAAAGUCAAGGUCACAGGGAUAAAAAUUUUCAUGCGCAUGGAAAGGUGUUGUCCAGAUACACAUGCAUACCAAAUAUAAAAGCAAUAUCUGAAGGGACACAGUAGUUAUGAGCCUUUUUCUUAAUCGCGGUCGCAGAUUUCGAAACCUGAAAACUGACCCCAUGUUCAAGGUCAUAGGGGUAAAAAAAUUGUGUGCGCAUGGAUAGGUGUUGUCUAGAUAUACAUACAUACCAAAUAUGAAAGCAAUAUCUGAAGGGACACAGUAGUUAUGAGCCUUUUUCGAAUCGCGGUCACAGAUUUCGAAACCUUAAAACUGACCCAAAGUUGAAGGUCAAGGGUAAAAAAUUGUAUGCGAAUGGAUAGGUGGUGUCUAGAUACACAUGCAUACCAAAUAUGAAAGCAAUAUCUGAAGGGACACAGUAGUUAUGAGCCUUUUUCGAAUCGGGGUCGCAGGAAAAUCACUGACCCGGCCCCACCCUGACCCCAAUAACUUUUGGCCAAGGGGUCAGAUCAAAAUUCCGUUGCUGUCACCGUCGUAUAUAUGCUCAUAGCUACCAUGUGUGUAAGUUUCAAGGUUCUAGUGCUAAUAGUGUAGGAGAUAAUAGUGUCCAGGACGGACAGAUAGACAGACGGCGGAGCUAAACACAAUAUCCCCACGCUUUUAAAAAAACAUGGGGAUAAAAAAAAAGGGUAAAGAUGAGUACUAAAAUUUUGUGUGUACAUGGUUUACCUGCAUAAACAGUUUGAAAUUGCAUAUAUAUUUAAAUUUUAGAACAACAAAGUAAAUGUUGAAAAUGGUUCAUGAUAGUUCUUUGUAUAUUGUUAAAUCACUCAUUUUAGGGCAAUUAUAAUUUUUUGUUUAAAAAGGCAAUCUUACUCAACAUCUGCGGAUUUAAGGUGAUACAUGUAUUGAUACUGAUUUUAAGUUGAUGCCAUGUUUUAUACAGAUAACUUGAAUGUACCGAUAGUUUUCAAUUCAUUGCUUUGUAACUGAAAUAAUGAAUUUUUUACCACCUUCCUGUUACUUUUAAUUUAGUGUUUUGUGGAAAAUGAGAUUUUCAUGUUAAAAAGUAUGCAUUAUUCAAGAUAGAUUAAAUCAAAGACAACUGUUGAUACCUGCACAUGGAUAUUUCAUUCCUUAUGUGUGUAAUUUCCUAUCCUUGACAUGCAUAAGUAAUCAUGUAAGAAACAAUUUGUUUGCAGCUGGUUGUUACUGCAUGUGUAAUUUCUAUUCAAAAUGAUGGUUUUAAUAACAUGUGAUUCAAUGAGAAAUGCAUUUCUCAACUGAAACAUUUCUUAAUUUAUAUAUAAAUCAUAUUUACUAUAUCAUGUGCUCAUGCAUACAUGUUGCUUAUUGUUGAUGUCUUAAUAAACCAAGAGUAUAUUAUCAA